rnacentral:rRNA from 1 species
UACGUAGGGUGCGAGCGUUGUCCGGAAUUAUUGGGCGUAAAGGGCUCGUAGGCGGUUUGUCGCGUCUGCCGUAAGAACUCGAGGCUCAACCUCGGACUUGCGGUGGGUACGGGCAGACUAGAGUGUGGUAGGGGAGACUGGAAUUCCUGGUGUAGCGGUGAAAUGCGCGGAUAUCAGGAGGAACACCGAUGGCGAAGGCGGGUCUCUGGGCCGAUAUUGACGCUGAGGAGCGAAAGCAUGGGGAGCGAACAGG